GAUGAACGCUGGCGGCGUGCCUAAUACAUGCAAGUCGAGCGAACGGACGAGAAGCUUGCUUCUCUGAUGUUAGCGGCGGACGGGUGAGUGACACGUGGAUAACCUACCUAUAAGACUGGGAUAACUUCGGGAAACCGGAGCUAAUACCGGAUAAUAUUUUGAACCGCAUGGUUCAAAAGUGAAAGGCGGUCUUGCUGUCACUUAUAGAUGGAUCCGCGCUGCAUUAGCUAGUUGGUAAGGUAACGGCUUACCAAGGCAACGAUGCAUAGCCGACCUGAGAGGGUGAUCGGCCACACUGGAACUGAGACACGGUCCAGACUCCUACGGGAGGCAGCAGUAGGGAAUCUUCCGCAAUGGGCGAAAGCCUGACGGAGCAACGCCGCGUGAGUGAUGAAGGUCUUCGGAUCGUAAAACUCUGUUAUUAGGGAAGAACAUAUGUGUAAGUAACUGUGCACAUCUUGACGGUACCUAAUCAGAAAGCCACGGCUAACUACGUG
rnacentral:rRNA from 1 species